GAUGCAAAUUCGUGGGAUUUUAUCACCCUAAACUUGAAGACUUGUUCCUUGCUGUUUUUAAGUGUUUUUGAGCAGUUUUGAUGUGUUUUAGUGUGUUUUGAAGUAAAAAUCCGAAAAUUACAUAAAAAUUUGAAAAAUUUGUUUUAAAAACCCAAAAAGAGUUGUUUUUGUGUGUUUGUUUGUGUCUUAGGGUACCUUCCAACACAAUGAUGAGGAUUCGGUUUGUAAUUACAUGGCUGUUAAAGAGAGUGAUUCACAUGGAUGAAAGUUUGAUUCACUCUUUGUUAUGCUUAGUUGUGGUUAUAACUUAUGAAUUCACAUGCAAUCAUAAAAGAAAAAAAUCAGUUUUUGUAACAUGCUUGAAGGAAGGAACUCAAACUAACGCUACAACCUUGUGAGACUUGAGCCUAAACGCUUAUUUGGAGAGUUAAAAUCUGUGCAUUCUUUGUUUUCUAAGUCGUUGCAUGAUCUCAUUAUUCCUUGAUUGGUUGCUACUUAGAAGGCGUUUCAUCAUUUAGUUCCAAAUGCUAGAACUCAUGCCCAUUUCAUUCAAAGCAUGUUAUUGAUUUGCAUAACACAUAUUCAAGAUGAAGUUGUGUAGUGACCACCACCUUAGCCAAAAAGCCAUGAAUCCCCUAUGUCAUUAUGUUUUGUAGGUUUUAACCCCGUUGAGCCUUGUUUAGCCUAUGUUGUUGUUAACCCACAUUAUCCUCACCUAGCCUAGUUUAGGACCAUCCAUACCCUUGUUCUUAAAGCAUAGUAAAGCAUGAUUCGAAUUGAAUUCCUUUUGAUCUAUGUUGGCAGAAACCAAGUGUGGGGGAAGUAUUUUUCAUGAGGAAUUGUGUGCCAUAGGCACGGCAAAGAAAAGAAAAAAAAAUUCGUGGAAAAAAGAAAAAAAUGAAGAAAAAAAGUGUGAAAAGUAUGAAAAAACAGUUUGAAAAAAAAAAGAGAAAAAGAGUUCCAAAGUAUUGUUUGUUGAAGUAAGGGUCCAAAACAAUGAAUUCGGCCCUAAGGAGUUGUUUAAGUCUUCCCCUUGUGUUUUAAAGUUAAUUUCUGCAAUCUAAGUGAAUUCUAAGUCUCAAUUUCAUUGCUUUGCUUACUAUUGCUUGAAGAACGUUUGUUUUCCCUAUCCUUUCCUUGUUAACCAACAACCUAAGCCCCAUUACAACCCUUAACUUCUACCUUGAGUGUUAUGUGUUUCAAUUUGUGGAGUUUGAAUUUGGUAUGAGCAUAUGGUGUCACUGGUUCUCGCAUCUAAGUAGUAGCAUUCCAUUCAUGAGAUCAUAUCUAAACAUGCUUCUUAACUCUAGAAAUUGCGUUCUUUGUGAAACAUAUAUGUGAGCAUUCGUUUUCAUAUCUACAUCAAUCUUCUCACAUAUGACUAGUGUAGGGUGUGGAGUUAGAAAAUCUGAGUGAAAAUAGAGUGUAUAUCUUGUAAGGAAUUGAGGGAAUUCUCUAAGGCAUGUUACUACAUUCAAAGCAUUGUUUUAAUUGAUUACUUGUGAACUAGUAAGUGGUGGCUUUAAUUAAGUAUGUGCUUGUGUAAAGAUGACUCAAAUCUGUGGGGAUAGCAAUCUUGAACAUGUCAUGUGCAUUGGAAAUCCCUGAGGCAAACGUUGGAAGGUUUAGGUUUGUUUUGGUUAGUUUGUUUCGUUUCGUUUUCUUUCUUUUGUUUGUUUUGCUCGAGGACUAGCAAAAGCUAAGUGUGGGGGAAUUUGAUAGGAGCAUAUUUAUGCGCCUUAGUUAGCUAGUUCUUAUGCAUCUUUGUUAUGUUUUCUUUGUUAAAGUAGUCUUUUAAGCUACUUUCAUGUGUUUUCAGGUUUAAAGGACAUAUUACAUGAAAUGAUGCAAUUUGGAGCUUUUGGAGCAAAAAGUGAGCUUGGAAUGAAAAGGACAUGCUUGGAACACAAGGUUGGGUUGAAAUUGAAGAGUUCGAGAUUUGAGGUUUCCUACUUGAAGUAGGAAAGCUAAACCUAAAAGUUUCCAUUUUGGGUUGAUCUUUCCUAAAUCGGAAUUGGCAACCAAAGUUUCUAAAGUUGGAAGUUUCUAUUCUUGGAGGUUUCCAAUUUCGAGAGUUUCUAUUCUCGGCUUUGGGCUUUUGGAUGACCCAUCUUUGCCUCUUGGACCUAUGCCGCACCUAACCCUAGUUUUUGGUGGAUUUCCUAACCCUAGCCGCACCUAAACCCUAGCCCAUUUGUCUAAUCUGAUUUCUUUAGGGUUUGGCUGCCUAUAUAUAUAUGUUUUACCUCCCUUGGCCGAAUCACAACCCUCUCCAUAAUCCAGAAAUUAAUCCUUCACGCCAGAAACCAUUCCCCAUCUUCAACAGCACCUAUCCUUCAUCAUUCACCAUAAUUUCUGACCCAAAACCACCCUAGCCGUCCCAUACACCUAUCCUACACACUUUUCCACCAUUCUACACCAUCCAUAACCCCCAAAAACCAUCACAAACCCCUGUGCCGCAACCAAGGAAGAGGAGGAAGGUUCUUAGAUGUUCCUGCUGUGCAAUUUAGAUUGCUGGAAUUUUUAGGUGUGAUCUUUCUUAUGUUUCAAUGUUUCAAUUCAAUAAACUUUGUGUUGUGAGUAUGAGGAACUAAACCCCCUUAGUUGGGGGGUAAUUCGAAACCAUGUACAUGCUUGCAAUUUGAUUCGAUUACAUUCAGUUGUUAUUUCAUAAGUUGUGGAUUCAAUUCGUUCAUCUAUUUGAUUGAUACUUAUUUAUGUAUGUUGAUUGAGAGUGCACGCUUAGUUUUCAUGCAUGAAUAUGAUGCUAGAUUAUGAGGGAGUUUCACCUAAUAGUUACAAUCUUAUAAUCACAAGUAGUGAAGAUUGCUUGUAAACGAUCGCGUUGAAUGAAUUCUUAGCAUAAGUUUCAUGCAAUUCAUAGUAACAAAUGCUUCGUCAAUGCUUAUGUUUUUCAUAGAACGUAAUGAUUCUUGCUUGUAUCUCUAUUAUGCAAUUCAUGUAGGGAACUUGUAGGGAAUGUUUUGGGUUGUCGUAUGCAAUCAUCCAACUUAAUAACUUGUGGAAAAACUGAGGGUUAAUUAGUGCAAUUCACGGCUAAUCUGGGGCGUUGAGUAUUUAUAAUUUAUUGGAAGAACAACUGAAAAUCGUUUUGUUUGCAAGUGUGACAUGUGUGGAGAAGAACCUCCUAACUAGCCUUUUAUCCAUCUAUUUCACCAAAAUCGUUUUUACAAUCUGUGCUAAUUAAAGUUUCUGUUUUGUGUUAAAUUUUCGUCCAAAACAAAUCCCCCUCUCAUUUGAAGUCUUAGAUUAGUUAGAAAGUAUUUUGAUUUGUGUUUCUAAGUAUUUUGAUUCAAGUUUUCAUCAAAUUUCGUCCAAAUUAGUGUAGGUGCUCAAAACUGCCCAGAAAGUGGUUUUUAGGCAGUUUUGAGCCUUCUAGUUGCUGUUUUGAGUUUUAGGUUUGUUUAAGCGUUUUAACCUUUAGUUUUGCAUUCUUUGAGUCUAGUUUAGUGUUUUAAACUUUGUUUUUGAGUUUUUAAGUCAGUUUCCAAGUGUUUAGCAAUCCCUCCUAAUCCCCGGUCUAGAACGAUCCCUACUUACAUCUCUACUACAAUUUGACAAAAGAGGGUUUAAUUUGUGUGCUUAAUAUAUUUCGCAUCAAUAUGCUUCCUUCUAUUCACUGCCUUAUAACCAUCUGCAACUUUCAUCAUCAAUAGGAAUGUUUUGCAUUUGGAUGGAGGAAUUUGAUACAAUGGAUUCGAGUUUGACAAGAGGGCUAAAUUUGGUAUAUAAACUAGAAAACGCUAUUUCGAACGUAUUUGAAAUAAUUAUACGCGAGGAAUAUUAUUUGAAAUCCAUUUGUUUUCUUUCUUUUCCUUAUUUAAAUCUUGGCAAUACACGAACGAAAAUGGUUCAAACCUACAACUUGAGUCACAAAGUUCCUGCCAAAGUAUAUACGAUAAACACAGUAGUGGAUUGGUCUGGUGGUUAGGGUCUUCUCUUCGACCCACUAUGUCCAAGAAGCAAUCUCUCCCCCUCUCCUAGUGUAGAUUAGUGUAGAGUACGGCUUAUAAUAAAAAAUAAAACAAAACAAAAAGCGUAGAUGUGAUAAACAAAGAACCAAUUCUUAUUGAGACAUAGAACCACUUCAUAUAAUAACAGCCCCAAAACUAUUCAUGUCUCUAAUUUAAAGCUUAACAACCACCAAACAAAACAUCACUUGUAAACUCUCAAGGGAAAAGACUCAGCAUCCCCAAUAAAAAGUCCUAGACAAGAAAACAACCUUAAUAUCAACUGACUAAGAUGAACUCAUCAUCAUCGAGAACUUGGACAUCAUUUUCUCCGACAAAAUUCUCCCCCUAAUUUGCUUAACCAAAUUCACAAACUCUACCCUAUUCGCAAGAGGACGAGGUACAUAUGGCAGCCGGAAGACCAGCCUCACAACCCCAAGUUAGGCAAGUGCUGUGUGUUAAGCCGAUGAGAUUUGGCUCUUGGUAAAGCAACUUAAUCAAAGGCAUCCAUCUUUGCAUUUAGGGACAGUGUUUUCCCUCGAACAUGAGUUGUCGCAUUAAACUUGGGAUGCAAUAACCUCAACUUUUUGGGCUAUGUUGCAAAACUUAAACUUUUGAGCUCAUUUUGUAAAAACACAAAAGUCCACUACUUCAUGUAAUUACAACUAGAACCCAAAAAUUUCAACAAAUUUAAAAACUCCAUUAAAGGAACAAAACAAUUUGUCCUUUAAUGAUUUUGGGCCUUUACGUAAAUACGUAAACUUUUGGGUCAAACUACAAAAUACACAAAAGUACCAAAACUUUAUGUAAUUGCAUAAAAGCCCAAAAAACACCCCACUUGUAGGGUGGCCGGUUUUGGAGAGAAGGGAGUGAUGUGUGUGUUGAUUUGUAGUUUUAGACAUAAAGUCAUGCAAGUGGUGCAUGACAUAAAUGUCAUGCAAGUGGUGUGUGUGAAAGGGAAUUAAUCCUUACACACCCACCAAUAUUUCCUUCACCUUUCAAAAUAAAUAUCUAACACAUUUAAAUAUUUGAAAAGCACAAAACAAAAAACUUUAUGAAAUAAAUCAAAACACCAAACUUUUUGAUCUUGGCUAAAAUAUCAAGAACAAUGAAGAACAUUCAUGAAAAACUCAAAAAAUCUCCAUGAACAUUUUUCACCCAAAGACAUCCCAAAACCACUCAAACUUAAGGGAAAUAACAUAUAACCAAACUAGGGUACAUAGGGGUUCCAAAAGUUACUUGAAAACACUUUUAACAAGUCAAACAAGAACCCAAAAUCCACCCUUUGGAUUUGGCCGAAUUUUCCCAAAAACAUGGCACCAAAUUUUAGCUCCAAUAUUCAUGCUCAUAUGAACUACAUCUACAACAUUUGAGAUGGCAAAUUUUGUAACAAAAUUUACAUUCAAAGAAGCAAGAAUAAAGCUUGUAACAUAUUACAACAUUUAAAUCAAAGACUAUGAACUACAAAACCCAAAAGGAUUCACCAACUACUAGACCUAGGCUCUGAUACCACUUGAAGGAAAUUUUGUGAAAAACAUGUUCAUUUAAGCAACAUCUAUAGCAUGCAAUUAACAAAUUAAAGGUGGAAUCAUGCUUGUAUGCACUUAAAAACAAAACAUUAACCAUGAAAUUCAAAGCCUAGUAGUUGGGUGAACCAAGACUCAACUCAAAACAAAGUGAGUUGAGAAAUUAUACCGUUGUUGAUUCCUCUUUGCAUAAGCAAAGGAUAAUCACCCAAGAGAUAAGGCCUUCAUUCAUUGCUUCUUAGAUCCAUGGAUUUGGAUGGAAGAAUAGGUUUCUCCAAGUUCCCAAAAUUGAGAACCUCUAAGUCUCCACACCAAGGUAAGAUGUGAAGAAGAGAUGAGUGACCUUGGAGGAGAAAGAUUACUAGCUAAUCCCUCCAAGGGUGGCCGGCCUCUUUAAAGAGAAAGGAGAGCUUUGUGUUCUCAUCCUUUCCCCAAAAGAAAACCCUAAAUGAAUUUUGGCUAUAAAGUCAUAUUUAUACCUACAUUCAUUUGAGUGGCAAACUUGUAAUUAAGUCCAAAACCCACUCCUUUAACUAAAUGGCCGGCCAUAGGGAUUCAUUGGGCUUUUCAGGCCUUUGUGAAUUAUUUGUCAUUAAGUUGUCAUACAACUUAGGUCAAUGGGCUUGACGUUCGAAGCCCAUUGGGCCUUGAGGCCCAAAACUAACCCAUGGUCUUUUAACGAACUUUAUUCGUUUGAUUAAUUAACAUAUUAAUUAAUCCUUGCCAUAAAUAAUUAAACCAUUUAAUUAUCCUUACUCAUCUCCGUUGUUUCUUCAAUCUCUGCCUCACACGGUGUACGAUCCAUUAGGUUCCUUUUAGCUAGGCAGUGGGUGAUUAGAACUUUUUCAAAUCGAUUGUGAAUUGAAACUUACUUUCAAUUCUCCCUUUAGUGAUUAUACACGUUUGGGGCUUCCACAAACCAUGAGUGACACCUAGCAGUAUGUCAUGGUUACCCAAGCUAAUCAGAAGAGGUGGAGAACCUAUUCAGUUUAGGAUUACAAUGCAAUACGGUCUUUCUCUAAUACAAUACUCUUGACCACAUUGUUUGGUUUAAUAGUUUAUUCAUGUCUACUAUCCAAUGUGAUUCAUUUACUUAUAUGAUUACCUUGAAUGUGAUUUGGAAUGACUUCCUAAAUCUCAUUCAUACUCUGGCCAGAGAUUCUUAAUCAUAUCAUAGAGUAUUCUCCCUCAAACAGUUUGAAGGUUAGAGAUCCCUUGUUGCGCAUUCACUUGCCUCCAUGGCUAAGUGGCUUAACCCCAACUAUGCCGUGGACACCCUCGAAUGGAGUGACUUUGACAUAAUCAAAGAUCAAGGACUUAACCACAACACAACUAUGAUGCCUCAGGUCAAAGGACUACUUUGCAUUAUCCCAACCAUGAGUUCUCAUGUGACAUGAGUAUGAGAACUCCUUGUUGAUCGUGUUCAGUGGACUCAUUCGUUAUUGAGCACCUACAUGCUUGUCUUGAUGUCAAUCACACCAAUGACUCGAGACCAGUCACUCUCCAUGAGAGAAGACACAACACGUACUGAUCUUAACGGACUGUCAAUGCCCAAUUGGCAAUCCUAUGAUCAGGAACGUUUAGGAUAUGUAUAAGAAAGAGAAUGGUCUCAUAAAUCUAACUUGUUUAAAUUACAUUCUCCUAAUUACAUAUUCCUUGGACUUACCGUUUAAGCAUAUAACAUUUAUAUGAGACGGCUUAAACAAUAAUCUUUGCCCUUGAUAUUAAACUAGAUUAGUUUAACAUGUGAAAUGUCCGUAAAGUAUCAUCAUAUGAUUGGUUUUAGGGCACAUUUCCAACAGUUACUACAUUCAAAACAUCGUUUUAAUUGGUUAAUUGUGAACUAGUAAGUGGUGACUGUGAUUAAGUAUGUGCUCAAGUGUAAAGAUGACCAAAAUCUAUGGGAAUGAUGAUUUUUAACAUGUCAUGUUUCAUUAAAAAUCCCUGAGGCAAAUGUUGGAAGGUCUAGGUUGUGUUUUGUUUGUUUCGUUUGUUUGUUUUGCUCGAGGACUAGCAAAAGCUAAGUGUGGGGGAAUUUGAUAGGAGCAUAUUUAUGCGACUGAGUUAGCUUGUUCUCAUGCAUUUAUGUUUUUAUUUCUUAGUUAAUUAUGUAUUUUAAGCUAUAUUCAUGUGUUUGUAGGUCCAUAGGCCUUAUGAAGCAAUAAGAUGCAUUUUGGUGCAUUUUGGAGCACUUUUGGGCUUGGAAUGAAUAGCACAUGCAUGGAGCAAGGUGGAUGGACGAAAUUGAAGACUAAAAAGGCUAGGAAUGUGUUAAAGAGAAAGAAGAAUUAAUGUAAAAAGGACAAAGAGCUUAGCCACAAAGGGGUGUCACUCCACCAUUCACCUUUCCAUCAUUGUCGUGCACCACCAUUGCACUCCCUUUGGAUUCCUAUGCCGUGCAUCAUCAUCCAUGUUCCCUCCAUUGACUCAUGUGUUGCAUCAUUCCACCUCCCUUUCCUUUCUCUACCAUGUGCACAAUCAUUCAUGUUCCCUAACUGCAACAUCACUCCAUUUUACCCCCAUGCUUUACAUUAUCACUUCACUUUCACCUUUGAAUCAUUUCAAACACCACUCAUUGCACUUAAUUGCUACACCAUUCCUUGUUCCCUCCAUCAUUUUAGAUUUCAUGCAUCAUUAGAUUGAAUCAUUGCACUCAAUUGCUACACCAUUCCUUGUUCCCUCCAUCAUUUCAUAUUUCAUGCAUCAUUGCACUCAAUCGCUACACCACUCCAUGUUCCCCUCCAUUGCCCUGCACUUCCUCUAUAAAAGGAAGUGUGUGUAACAUAAAUUUAGUUCAUACUUGGUUAGAUCAUUCACUCCCAUUUCAACACAACCUUCAUCCAAACACAUCCAUUCAUCUUCACAUCCAUUCCUCCAUACAAACAAACCUUCAAACACUCACCAACACCUUGUGUCGUAGCAAAGGAAGGGAAGGAAAGUGCUUGGACGUGCUUGAUGUCCAACUUGGAUCGUUGGAGCAUUUAGGUGUUUUCUUUCUUUUGUUUCUAAUGUUUAAAUUCAUUUCCUUUCGUUUUGUUGUAAAUAUGAGUGGCUAAACCCCUCUUGGCUAGGGGUGAUUUCAAAGCCAUGAUUAUGUGUGCAAUAUAAUUUGAUAAAUUCCAGUUAUGAACUCUUGAAUCGUGAAUGCAAUUGGCUUAACUAUUUGAUUGAUAACUUAUUUGUAUUUGUUAAUUAAGGGUCGACACUUAAUUGGCAUGCAUAAAUCCGUUGCUAGAAUAUAAGGAAGUUUCACAUAAUCGUUACAAACUUAUAUUCACAUGUAGUGAAGGUCGCUUAUAAACGAUCGCGUUAAGUUCAAUUCCUAGCAUGAGUGACAUGAUGUCAUAGUUGCAAGUGCUUUGUCAAUGCUUAUGAUUUUCAUUAAACGUAAUGAUCUUUUAUUGUAUCUCUAUUAUGAUGUCAUGUAGGGAACUUUAGAGAAUGUUUUGGGUUGUCGAAUGAUGUCAUCCAAUCCAAUAAAACAAGGAAAAUCUGAGAGUUAACUAGUGAUGUCACGGUUAAUUUGGAGCAUUGUCAUUCAUAAUUGAAUGAAGUAGUAACUGGAAAUCGAGUUAUUUGCAUACAUGUCAUGUGCGGAGAAAAAGCCUCUGGCUAUCCCAUCCAUCAUCUUAUUUCUCAAAUUUGUUUUACAAUCUGUCUAGUUUUUCAUACUUGUUUGUUUGUUUCAACUUCGUCCAAAACUCAAUCUCCCUUUACUUUAGUGUGUCUAAUUAGUUAGAAUAUGUUUUAAUUUGUGUUUUUAAGUGUUUUGAUUCAAGUAAAAGUCAAUUUUCAUCCAAAGUCAUUCCUAUUGUCUAGUUUAAGUUUAUUUAGUUGUUCUAAGCUGUUUUGAGUAUUUUAAGUUUGCUUUGAGUCUUGUGAAUCUUGUUAAGUAUUUUUUAUGUUUAGUUUUAUGUUUUUGAGUCAGUUUAGAGGUUAUUAGCAAGCCCUCAUAGUCCCCGGUCCAGAACAAUCCCUACUUAUACUUAUACUACAGUUGUCAAAAGAGGGUUAAAUUUGUGUGUUAAGAUAAUUUUCGCAUCAGUGGUCAAAUCUAAGCGUCGCCAAACACAUCUGGAAGAUCUUCACCGAAUUUUUCUUUGCAUACACCAAUAUAAGCUUAAAAUGAAUCUUGCUAAGUGUGCUUUUGGUGUAUCUACGGGAAAUUCUUUGGGUUUCCUGGUGCAUCACCAAGGCAUAGAGGUUGAUAAAAACAAGGCUCGUGUAAUUAUUGACGCUCCACCCCCAACGACAAAGAAACAGUUGCAAUCAUUGCUAGGAAAAAUCAACUUCCUUCGCCGAUCUAUUUUAAUUCAGCGGGGAAGAUGAAAGAUUUCUCCACACUCCUAAAGCUGAAGGACUUCGACCGUUUUGAAUGGUGAAACAAAAAUGAAGACGUUUUUAUCCAAAUUAAGGUAUCUCUUACUAGUCCUCCAGUACUUAUGCCCCCACUAUGUGGAAAACCACUCUAACUUUAUAUCUCGACUGCUGAAGAAUCCAUUGGUUAUCUUUUGGCAUAAGACAAUGACAAUAACCAAGAACAGGCCAUUUUUUACCUCAGUCGAGAUAAAUUAUUCAGCCAUUGAAAAGCUUUGCCUUGCUCUAAUUUUUGCCUUGUCUAAACUUAGACAUUAUAUGCUUCCCUUGGUCACUCAGGUCAUUGCUCAAACAGACGUCAUUUGUUAUAUGCUUACUCAGCCAAUUUUUAAAGGCCGAAUCGGAAAAUGGACAAUGGCCUUAUCUGAGUUUUGUUUACAAUAUAUACCUCAAAAGACUGUCAAAGCAAAAGCUCUAGUCGACUUCCUCGCCCAACAUCUUUCUCCGUACAGAUUUAGGGGCUACUAUGUCGAAAUCGGCAUGGAGCCGUAUAAUACCUUCAGUUUGGAUAAACAACAUUGUAUUGGCAACUGGCAACAUCUUCAGUUUAUAUAAACAAGACUGGAGCAGUAGAAUUAGUUGACUGAGGAGUAUCUUCAGUUUGGAUAAAUAGCAUUGCUUCGCGACCGACUAGUUAUCUAUCCAAGUCUCAGUCAGCAAGGAUUUCCUAAGUCCUUGUUGAAAAAGGUUAUCUUAUUAGCCUUCUCGACAAAGUAAAGUGUUACCAGGUUAGACGUUCAACACAUAGAAAGCCAAACGUAUUUUAUGAUUGGAUAUUCAUAAGUACAUUUUAGAGUUCGGCACUCAGACGAUCGAACAAAAUUUACAAUCAAGACACACAUCUUUUUUAUGUACUUGUGUCCCUACAAUUUGAUACUAAUUCGGAUCACUUAUAUUCUCACGAAUAUAAUUACUGUUGCCAACCCGGUGCCAACGAUUCGUGAACUUCAUAGGCUCUAGAACUCAAAGGCCAGGACGUGUUUCUUCCUCGGUCGCAAUCACAAGAUUCAGAUGUCAUUAGCGCGCCCAAUGCCACAUCAACACUCAUUCACUCCCCAACCAAGCUCGAUCGACGAGUUGGCACGCCCCGCAUUUAACCAAAGGACGUGGUUAGCUCAUUAGUUACUCAACCUACGCGCCACGUAGGCUAAGUAGGUUUUUGGGACAACAAGCAUAUAUUAUGGAAAAAUGUAAUGUUAAGGAGACUAAAUUUGUAGAUAAAAUUAUGAAAACAAAAUGACAUGUAAGUUGGUAAUUAGAUUAUUACUUAAAUGUGAUAAACGUGUUCCUAUUGAUGACACAUCAUUUAAUUUGCAAAUUUAGUCUUUCUAUUAUUACUCUAUGGAAAUGCUAAGAAGACUCUCUUAAAAGUGAAACUCUUCAUGGACUCUCUUAAAAGUGAGACUCUUCAUGGACUCUCCAUCACCUAAUGUUUUUAACAUAAUUCUUAUACCAAUAUUAUAAAAUAUUAUACCAAAAACAUGAUAUUGUGAAGAGCAUUUGAGAAGUGUCUCACUUUGAAUCUCAUACGCACUUGAAGCUGGCAGCACUACGUCUGCAUCUGCAUGUGAGUCUUUGAGCCCGUAAUUUACUGGAAGAAGUAGGGGUGGAAUUGUCAUUCAGAAAGGUGUCAUGGGAAACUGGAGUGGGGCCAAUCGACGGCAAUUGAGGUCAGAUAGGCCUGGCAAACGAGUCGUGUUAGUCGUGUUUGUGUCGUUUUCGUGUAACACCUAUUAUCUUAACGGGUCGUGUCGUGUCACACCUAUUAUCUUAACGGGUCCUUAACAGGUCAGGUCACUUUACCCAACGGGUAAAGUGACCCGACCCAUUAUGACCCGUUAAGAAAAAAAAAAUUUCUUAAAUUUGCACAUACCACACAUUGUCACAUAAAUAUUACUUCAAAACAUUAAAACACAUUUUUGUCCUUUAAGUACUUCAUCUACACUCGAAAAUAAGAGCCUUAUAAAAAAAACAUCCAUACACUACUAAUCUAUUACAAAUAUUAAAUGUGCAAGGAUAUGCAAAAUGAAAGCGUUUUUGUUUUCAAGGUUGUGAAGCCUUUCUCAAAAGUUUAAACCUUGCCAAUGGAACUCAAAGCUUAAUGAAAGUGACCCACCGGUGUGUCUAUUCGUACUUUCAUUAAGUAUAACAUAAGAUUUUGUGGUAUCCACUAGUGUAAAUAUUUUAAAUUGAAGAUCGAAUUCAUUCAUUGUAUUCAUAUAGGGUCAAGGAGUGUAGUUGUAAAAAUCAUCGAAAUCGGAGUUAAAAUAACCGUUAAAUUGUGAUUUUUCGUUUAUAACCGUCGAAAAGUUUUGUCCUGUUACUUAAUCUUUAAAUGUUUGUUUUUUGCAAUUUUUAGCGUAUGCGAUCUCGAAGCAUAUACAAACAAGUAUGACGGUUAGAUCAUUGAAACUAGUUUCGUAUAAUGCGUAUCCCAUCAAAACAAUAGAUUCACUAACACUUUAGAGUUUAUUCUUACUUUCAUUAAGUAAAACAUAAGAUUUUGUGGUAUCCACUAGUGUAAAUAUUUUAAAUUGAAGAUCGAAUUCAUUCAUUGUAUUCAUAUAGGAUCAAGGAGUGUAGUUGUAAAAAAUCAUCAAAAUCGAAGUUAAAAUAACCGUUAUUGUGAUUUUUUGUUUAUAACCGUCGAAAAGUUUUGUCUCAUUACUUGAUCUCUGAAUGUUUGUUUUUUGCAAUUUUUGGCAUAUGCAAUCUCGAAGUAUAUACAAACAUGUUUGACGGUUGGAUUGUUAAAACUAGUUUCGUAGAAUACGUAUCUCAUCAAAACAAUAGAUUCACUAACACUUAAAGAGUUUAUUCAUACUUUCAUCAAGUAUAACAUAAGAUUUUGUGGUAUCCACUAGUAUAAAUAUUUUAAAUUGAAGAUCGAAUUCAUUCACUGUAUUUAUAUAGGGUCAAGGAGUGUAGCUGUAAAAAAUCAUCAAAAUUGGAGUUAAAAUAACCGUUAAAUCAUUCGUUUAUAACCGUCGAAACGUUUUGUCCCAUUACUUGAUCUCUGAAUGUUUGUUUUUUGCAAUUUUUGGCAGAUGUGAUCUUGAAGCAUAUACAAACAAGUUUGACUGUUGCAUCGUUGAAACUAGUUUCGCAAAAUGCGUAUCUCAUCAAAACAAUAUAUUCACUAACACUUAAGAGUUUAUUAAUAUGGACAUUGGGAAUAGUAUAUGGAAGCACAUAAAGUAAAUAACUUCAAAACUCUUAUGUGUGGGAAGUUUUCUAGAAGUGUCAUUAGAUAUGUUAGAGCCUCGGGCCUAAGUAUCAGGACAUGAGUAUGUGCGGACUUUAAGCCUAUUCCAAAACUUAAGGAGGACAUACCCAAACAAGUGUAAAGUCCCAGCCGAGGUUGGAGGGUCUAUUCGUAGGUUCAUACAACCCAGCCAAUACUAAGAGUGUGAUUCGGUAGGAUCCAAUCGAAGCUGGACAUCCUGGUUUAGUGCAUCUCUUUCGAAGCAUAGCAUGAAUUUCUGUAGAUCCCAGUCGAAGCUGGGUGAGUCUCUACGAUAGACUCUAGCUGAAUCUGGGUCUUUAUGAUCCGGUAUCACCCAUAUGAAUCUGUGUGUUUGUGUUAGUAUUUGAACUUUGGACUUAAAGGAAUGGAAGCCCAAAAGAGCUAAAGUGAAGAAACUCGCCCGAGGCCCAGCACCAAGCCUAGCCAUUCAUCUCAAGAUAAUAUGGCGACUCCUUAUUAAUGAAAGGGUUUAUGCUUACAAGGGAAGUGACAACCGAUGGAAAUCAGCCUACUCUCAACCCAACAGCACUUUCUAAUGGCAAAACAUGUAAAAAAGAUGAUGACUCACUGAAGUGCUUUCGAGCAGCCAAGAUAAAAUGUCUAUAAAAGGAUGAAGAGGCCCUAGAGACAAGACACUCAACCAAUCAAUCAAACAAACAUACAAACUCUGGUCUCAAGCCAGAUUUGCGUCUAAAAGCUGUAAACAGCCUAGAUCUCAAUCCUUUUCAAGAUAACUCCUUACAAAGCCAUCUUUUGUCUAGUUUAAAGCUCUGUGAUCACCCCUAAUGGCGUAGUAUCGAUUCUCUCAUGCAAACUUGUUUACCAUCCAUCCCUUUUAAACACAACCCUCUGUAAUUACAAAGAAAAGAGACUGUAAGACGUUCGACCUUGCCCGACAAGGUGAAAUCUUGCCCGACUCUCUUUGUUUCGUCUUUCAAUUAGUAGAUCUGGUAUUAUGAUGUACUCUUUAGUAUAUAUUCAAGUUAUUUCUAGUUAUUUGGUGAUCAAAAGUUCCAUUGGUCCUCAAAUCUGGUUCACUUAGUGGUUUUACUAUCAUAAAAGCCAAAAUAGGGAUCAAACUGAUGACUUAGUCAGAUUUGGAUAUCCACCCUUUAAAGCAUACAAGAUAAUGAACUAAAAGUCCUUGAUCUCAAGGCACAGAAAAGAACUUAAUGUAGACAUAGCUCAUUUACGACAAUCCUUUGAUAACAAGAAGUCAAAAUAACUUGUGGUGCAAGUAAUCGAGUUAAACACACUUGUUCUACAUCUGCCAUACUGAGAUGGUAGUGGCACGCCUAAGCACUUAGUUAGUGUUGAUUACAAGCCUUAAGGCCUACACCUAAGGUCCAGUAAAGGCACCUUUCAGAACUAACUCUGUUCUUCUCUUGUAGCUUCUCAACAAGCAGAAGCCCGAUAAUCAACCAAAGUGCCAACUCAUCGAGGAGUUGUGUGCUCGUGCCAGAGAUCCUCCCUAGCGAAAUUCCUGCCCGAACAUAGUUUUGGCACGCUCGGUGGGAUCACAAGUCUUGUAUGUCAAGAAAAUGAAGGAAAAAACAAACCUUCAGGUGGAAAACAAAGCAAAAACCACCCAAGUGUUUACCAACGUAAAAAAUGACGGAUCAUCUAGAGAAUAUUUCCCCUCACAAGGACCAACUACUCUGAAAAAUCCGACUUCGUUUGAGAAAUCAAGAGGAAUGGUGACCAACGAAGAUUUGCAGGCCAUGGAUAAAAGUACUAAGAAGCAUGGAGAAAAUCUCUCUAGACAUUAGAGGGGAAGUAAGCAGACUCUGUUCUGUAACAGGAAAUCUAUAAAGAAGGCUAGAUCUGGAGUACUAUACCCUAGAAAAUUGUACUAGAGAGAUGAUGAGUGAAGCAAGUCCUGUGAUUGAACCAGUUAUUCCUCUGUUUCCUAUACUUGAGGAAAAAGGGGAAUAAAGGAAAAAACAAGGAAGAAUUUGGAGCCAGUGAGCCAGUGUUGGAAGAGAUCCUAGAAGCGGAGUUGCCUGAGCCCUUACUAUUUCCACUUAAUAGUAGAGGCCAAUGCUGGCAAGAUAAAAAGAAGUAUGGGAUGCCCCAGUUGACCGGGGAAUCCAGUGGAAAAGGCGGGCUCUACUAAGCCAGACAAACCUCUUCGUUCUAAGCCUUCACCAUUGGUCAGUAAAGGAGGGGAUGCUAAGUGGAGAAAGCCCGAACCGAGAAAGGAGAUUAACUUGGGCAACGAUUGUAGCCCGAAGUGGGAACUUCCUUAUACCUCGCCUAAUAAUACAGCCAAUUACCCACUCAGAGAUGAGUUGGAUGAGUUGAGAAGGAUGGUGGUAAGAAAUGCUCAGCCACAAGCUCACCUGCUGUUUAGGGUCACCUAUCAGAAGCCCUACCCGGAGUUCGUUAAUGAGCAGAAUCCAUUUCCUCUUAACUUCAAAAUGCCCGCAUUCCCAACAUUCAACAGAGAAGAUAAUAAUGUGUCCUCUAGUGAUCACAUCUUCAAAUUCUCCAACCAAUGUGUAGCAUUUAAAGAUAACCCUAACUACAAGUUGAGACUGUUUGAAAACUCCUUGAUGGGCUUAACAUCUCAAUGGUACUUGAUAGGAGCAUAUUUAUGCGCCUUAGUUAGCUAGUUCUUAUGCAUCUUUGUUAUGUUUUCUUCGUUAAAGUAGUCUUUUAAGCUACUUUCAUGUGUUUUCAGGUUUAAAGGACAUAUUACAUGAAAUGAUGCAAGUUGGAGCUUUUGGAGCAAAAUGUGAGCUUGAAUUGAAAAGGACAUGCUUGGAACACAAGGAUGGGAUGGAAUUGAAGAGUUGAAGAUUUGAGGUUUCCUACUUGAAGUAGGAAAGCUAAGCCUAAAAGUUUCC
rnacentral:lncRNA from 1 species